rnacentral:rRNA from 1 species
GACGAACGCUGGCGGCGUGCUUAACACAUGCAAGUCGAACGAUGAUCCGGAGCUUGCUCCUGUGAUUAGUGGCGAACGGGUGAGUAACACGUGAGUAACCUGCCCCUGACUCUGGGAUAAGCGUUGGAAACGACGUCUAAUACUGGAUAUGAUCACUGGCCGCAUGGUCUGGUGGUGGAAAGAUUUUUUGGUUGGGGAUGGACUCGCGGCCUAUCAGCUUGUUGGUGAGGUAAUGGCUCACCAAGGCGACGACGGGUAGCCGGCCUGAGAGGGUGACCGGCCACACUGGGACUGAGACACGGCCCAGACUCCUACGGGAGGCAGCAGUGGGGAAUAUUGCACAAUGGGCGAAAGCCUGAUGCAGCAACGCCGCGUGAGGGAUGACGGCCUUCGGGUUGUAAACCUCUUUUAGUAGGGAAGAAGCGAAAGUGACGGUACCUGCAGAAAAAGCACCGGCUAACUACGUG